AAUAAGUGCAGCCAUAAGUUUCCGCGUCCAACUUUAAUUGUCCGUCUUAUUUAAAAUUUUUUUAUAAUUAAUAUUUUUAUUGUUAUGAGAUGAUACAACAUGAAUGGUACUUUACUCGUGACUUAUUUUUUUUUCAAAAAGUUUUCAAAUAAGACGAGCGGUCAAAGUUGGGCACGGAAAACCAUGGCUGCAUUUAUU
rnacentral:pre_miRNA from 1 species